rnacentral:rRNA from 1 species
GACGUAGGGCGCGAGCGUGUCCGGAUUUAUUGGGCGUAAAGAGCUCGUAGGCGGCUUGUCGCGUCGAAUGUGAAAACCCACAGCUCAACUGUGGGCUUGCAUUCGAUACGGGCAGACUAGAGUACUGCAGGGGAGACUGGAAUUCCUGGUGUAGCGGUGGAAUGCGCAGAUAUCAGGAGGAACACCGGUGGCGAAGGCGGGUCUCUGGGCCGUAACUGACGCUGGAGGAGCGAAAGCAUGGGGAGCGAACAGG